rnacentral:rRNA from 1 species
GCAUGCUUACAACAUAGCGUUAAUGCAUCAUAUCCCCUUAGAACUCCGCAGUUAAGCAUGCUUGGGAUAGAGUAGUACUAGGAUGGGUGACCUUGCGGGAAGACCUAGUAUUUUACAUGCC